rnacentral:rRNA from 1 species
AGAGUUUGAUCCUGGCUCAGGAUGAACGCUAGCGGCAGGCUUAACACAUGCAAGUCGAGGGGCAGCAUAAUGGAUAGCAAUAUCUAUGGUGGCGACCGGCGCACGGGUGCGUAACGCGUAUGCAACCUACCUUUAACAGGGGGAUAACACUGAGAAAUUGGUACUAAUACCCCAUAAUAUCAUAGAAGGCAUCUUUUAUGGUUGAAAAUUCCGAUGGUUAGAGAUGGGCAUGCGUUGUAUUAGCUAGUUGGUGGGGUAACGGCUCACCAAGGCGACGAUACAUAGGGGGACUGAGAGGUUAACCCCCCACACUGGUACUGAGACACGGACCAGACUCCUACGGGAGGCAGCAGUGAGGAAUAUUGGUCAAUGGACGCAAGUCUGAACCAGCCAUGCCGCGUGCAGGAAGGCGGCUCUAUGAGUUGUAAACUGCUUUUGUACGAGGGUAAACUCACCUACGUGUAGGUGACUGAAAGUAUCGUACGAAUAAGGAUCGGCUAACUCCGUGCCAGCAGCCGCGGUAAUACGGAGGAUUCAAGCGUUAUCCGGAUUUAUUGGGUUUAAAGGGUGCGUAGGCGGUUUGAUAAGUUAGAGGUGAAAUUUCGGGGCUCAACCCUGAACGUGCCUCUAAUACUGUUGAGCUAGAGAGUAGUUGCGGUAGGCGGAAUGUAUGGUGUAGCGGUGAAAUGCUUAGAGAUCAUACAGAACACCGAUUGCGAAGGCAGCUUACCAAACUAUAUCUGACGUUGAGGCACGAAAGCGUGGGGAGCAAACAGGAUUAGAUACCCUGGUAGUCCACGCAGUAAACGAUGAUAACUCGUUGUCGGCGAUACACAGUCGGUGACUAAGCGAAAGCGAUAAGUUAUCCACCUGGGGAGUACGUUCGCAAGAAUGAAACUCAAAGGAAUUGACGGGGGCCCGCACAAGCGGAGGAACAUGUG